ACAUGCAGUCGAGCGAACAGAUAAGGAGCUUGCUCCUUUGACGUUAGCGGCGGACGGGUGAGUAACACGUGGGUAACCUACCUAUAAGACUGGGAUAACUUCGGGAAACCGGAGCUAAUACCGGAUAACAUUUGGAACCGCAUGGUUCUAAAGUGAAAGAUGGUUUUGCUAUCACUUAUAGAUGGACCCGCGCCGUAUUAGCUAGUUGGUAAGGUAACGGCUUACCAAGGCGACGAUACGUAGCCGACCUGAGAGGGUGAUCGGCCACACUGGAACUGAGACACGGUCCAGACUCCUACGGGAGGCAGCAGUAGGGAAUCUUCCGCAAUGGGCGAAAGCCUGACGGAGCAACGCCGCGUGAGUGAUGAAGGGUUUCGGCUCGUAAAACUCUGUUAUUAGGGAAGAACAAAUGUGUAAGUAACUGUGCACAUCUUGACGGUACCUAAUCAGAAAGCCACGGCUAACUACGUGCCAGCAGCCGCGGUAAUACGUAGGUGGCAAGCGUUAUCCGGAAUUAUUGGGCGUAAAGCGCGCGUAGGCGGUUUCUUAAGUCUGAUGUGAAAGCCCACGGCUCAACCGUGGAGGGUCAUUGGAAACUGGGAAACUUGAGUGCAGAAGAGGAAAGUGGAAUUCCAUGUGUAGCGGUGAAAUGCGCAGAGAUAUGGAGGAACACCAGUGGCGAAGGCGACUUUCUGGUCUGUAACUGACGCUGAUGUGCGAAAGCGUGGGGAUCAAACAGGAUUAGAUACCCUGGUAGUCCACGCCGUAAACGAUGAGUGCUAAGUGUUAGGGGGUUUCCGCCCCUUAGUGCUGCAGCUAACGCAUUAAGCACUCCGCCUGGGGAGUACGACCGCAAGGUUGAAACUCAAAGGAAUUGACGGGGACCCGCACAAGCGGUGGAGCAUGUGGUUUAAUUCGAAGCAACGCGAAGAACCUUACCAAAUCUUGACAUCCUUUGAAAACUCUAGAGAUAGAGCCUUCCCCUUCGGGGGACAAAGUGACAGGUGGUGCAUGGUUGUCGUCAGCUCGUGUCGUGAGAUGUUGGGUUAAGUCCCGCAACGAGCGCAACCCUUAAGCUUAGUUGCCAUCAUUAAGUUGGGCACUCUAGGUUGACUGCCGGUGACAAACCGGAGGAAGGUGGGGAUGACGUCAAAUCAUCAUGCCCCUUAUGAUUUGGGCUACACACGUGCUACAAUGGACAAUACAAAGGGCAGCUAAACCGCGAGGUCAUGCAAAUCCCAUAAAGUUGUUCUCAGUUCGGAUUGUAGUCUGCAACUCGACUACAUGAAGCUGGAAUCGCUAGUAAUCGUAGAUCAGCAUGCUACGGUGAAUACGUUCCCGGGUCUUGUACACACCGCCCGUCACACCACGAGAGUUUGUAACACCCGAAGCCGGUGGAGUAACCAUUUAUGGAGCUAGCCGU
rnacentral:rRNA from 1 species